rnacentral:rRNA from 1 species
CCUGGCUCAGGACGAACGCUGGCGGCGUGCUUAACACAUGCAAGUCGAACGGAGAUUCAGCAAUGGAUCUUAGUGGCGAACGGGUGAGUAACGCGUAGGCAAUCUGCCUUCUAGAUGGGGACAACAUCCCGAAAGGGGUGCUAAUACCGAAUGUUGUAUGAUCUUCGCAUGGAGAUGAUACUAAAGGUGGCCUCUGAAUAUGCUACCGCUAGAAGAUGAGCCUGCGUCUGAUUAGCUAGUUGGAGGGGUAACGGCCCACCAAGGCUUCGAUCAGUAGCCGGUCUGAGAGGAUGAACGGCCACACUGGGACUGAGACACGGCCCAGACUCCUACGGGAGGCAGCAGUGGGGAAUCUUCCGCAAUGGACGAAAGUCUGACGGAGCAACGCCGCGUGAGUGAAGAAGGUUUUCGGAUCGUAAAGCUCUUUCGUUAGGGACGAACGUGCUCUUUGUGAAUAAUGAGGAGUAAUGACGGUACCUAAAUAAGAAGCCACGGCUAACUACGUGCCAGCAGCCGCGGUAAUACGUAGGUGGCAAGCGUUGUCCGGAAUUAUUGGGCGUAAAGCGCGCGC